rnacentral:rRNA from 1 species
UACGUAGGGGGCAAGCGUUGUCCGGAUUUAUUGGGCGUAAAGAGCGUGUAGGCGGCCUUACAGGUCAGCUGUGAAAACUCGAGGCUCAACCUCGAGACGUCGGUUGAAACCGUAAGGCUAGAGUCCGGAAGAGGAGAGUGGAAUUCCCGGUGUAGCGGUGAAAUGCGUAGAGAUCCGGAGGAACACCGACGGCGCAGGCAGCGUCCUGGCCGCUUGCUGACACUGAGGCACGAAAGCUGGGGGAGCAAACAGG